CUCUAAGAUAAAGGUAUCCUUUUUCUAUGGUUGAAUUAUGUUGACCAUGAAUACUGAAUUUAUCAACGUUGCCAUGGUAGUUGCUUACAAUAAUAAACCUAAUAUCCGGAUUUGUCUUCAAACAGAAGUGAUGGAAGAGGAUACCAUGGAGAAGCAUGGUGUUAUUAAGCACGGCAAGCAGAAAGUAAAAACUACCAAUGAGAUCGAACCGGUUCAUGGAUUAACAUAUUGUCGUAGAAAAGCUAAUAAAAUGCGUCAUUCUAAUAAAGGGAAAUGUAAAUUGGAUGAUAUGUCUUUUAAUGAUAAGAGCGAUGAUAAAAUAAGUUCUCCAAAAAGUAAGAGUAGACGUCACCUUCGUAAAGAGAUUGAAAGACUGAUGGAAGAGAAUCAUAUGUUAAUGAUGAAAUUAGAAGAUUUCAAUGCGAUUUCAGAUGAUAGGGAGGAACAAAAGGAUAAAGAUAAAUUAAUAUUUAAAAUACGCGAUAAGUAUCAUAAAUUAGCGCAGGAAUAUGAACGUGUACAACAGGAGUGCGAAGAAUUGAAUGUUCUUUUGAAGCAAAAAGAAACGGAAUAUAGACAAUUGCAUGUUCAUCAUGAAGAAUCGACUCAGAUUUAUCAACAAUUAGAAACAACAAAAGAUAGUUUAUUAAAUCUUAAUCAAAAAUUAAAAUCUGAUAAUAUACAAUUGAAGGAAGAUAUUGUGCUUCUUAAAAAAGUAAUUUAUCAAUUAAAUGUAGAAUUAGAAAGGUAUCAGGAUAAACUGAGAUCAUGUGGACAAAUUAUACCAUUGCAAUAUAGUACUAGUACGAUGAACGAUGCAGAACUGUCUAAAGAAAAUAAGAAGAUGUUAGAAUCCUGGGGUAAUGUAGAUUUACAUGCUUUGGGUCCACUUUUAAACGCUUAUCAAGAGAAUAUAAUGGAAAAGAAAGAAUUGAUAAGCAAGUAUGAACGUGAACUCAAUGAUUUUACUGGCAGAUGUAAGGAAAUUAUAUUGGAAAAUGAAUAUUUACAAAAGGAAUUGGAAAAUUCUAAAUCAAAGUGUAAUAGGUAUGUGGAAGAGAUAAAAGAAAUUUCAAAUGAUGCCACUUUGAUCAAGGAACAAAAUGAUAAAGUUACGCAGCAAGUUGUUAAUCACAAACAAAAACUUCAAGAAUUACAAUCCUUGUAUGAAAGGAAAAUAGAAUCUUUGGCUCAAGAAAACAAAAGUCUACAUAAAGAAGUAGUAACUUAUAAAACAGAAUUGAGUAAUCUUCAAGGAAAAUAUAAAAUAAUAAAUGAAGGGUAUGAAAUGUUGAAAAGUAAUAGCGAUAAAACAAUGCCGGUACACGUGCAUGUUGCAGCAGUAGAUGAAUGCAAAAGAUUGUUCGAAGAAUUGAAAUCGCAGUACGAAUCAGAGAAGAAAAAACUUUCUACACGUAUCAAACAAUUGGAGGAGUCUCUACCAGACAAUGAGAAACAAUUUGUGACGGUAACAGCGGAGCGAAAUCAUUUAAAAAAUCUAACGAGAACGUUAGAGCGCAAUCUAAAACGUACUCAGCACAAAUUAACAAACGUGCAAAAUGUGGUAUACUCUGUACAAAUUUCACGUGACUCAUUUAAAAGACAAUUGAAUAAAACCACUGCAUAUUGCGAAAGGUUAGUAUCGGAAUAUGAAAAAGUUAUGUCGGAGAAGGAAAAAUUAAUGAAUUUGUUACACGAAAGAGAGAAAGAAAAUGCGGAUAUUCAAUACAUAGGCGACAGUAUAGCUCAUAGAGUAGGAAAUCUUAAAAGUCAAUUGAACGCUGUACAAAAGGACGCGAAGGAUCAAUUGGCAAUGGUGGAAAGGCAUAUUAGAAUACACGAAGUUGGAACAAAUCAAUUGAAAUCGGAAUAUCGUCAAGAGGUACAACGUUUGAAACGUUUGCUUAAGCAAAAGGACGACGUUAUAACUCAAUUACAAAAGGAAAAAGAAAAACUAACGUCUCAAGAAAAUAUUGAAUUGGUUUGACAAUACUAAAUGAGUAUUGAUAAAAUGAUUUAAUUAAUCGAUUCAAUAAUUGGAAAAGCAUUAAGCAUAAUGAUUCUAUCAGAUCAUAUUGGUAAUUUAUAUAGUUUGAUAUGUCACGUUUGAAUCGUACAAUUACGAUUUCAUUUUUGCAAUCGACGAUAAAUGAACGUGUAACUAAUUGUUUACUAUUUUACAAUGGACGUAAUUACAGUGGUUACCUAAGGAAGUAUAGAGAGCAUUUAUAGAAAUAUCAUGUCUGGAAUUUGUGCGUCCACGUUAGAGAGAGAGAGGCAAUGGCCUCAGGGUCCAACACACGUAGGAAACGUAUCAGAUUUUUACCGACGACAUCACCUUUAUUUAGUGGUGACAUCAACCAACGCAAGUGGUCUCGAAGGUUACCAAUUGCCAUAGAGGGAGCAAUGCUUGUUAUUAUAAUUCUUUCUAUGCAAAAAGAAACCGAAUGGCAUUCAUUAUAGAAAUGAUCUCACAUCCAUCUCAUUUUUAUUCGAGACACGUACAUUCAUUUGCAAACGAUCUGUCUCACCUUAGAGUUAUAUUCCAGAGAAGAUAGUAUUACAGCUUGAUAAUUAUCUUGGACUAUUGACCUCGUUCCAAACUAGGAAAGAAGAUUUAUGUUAGCUGCUGAAGUCUGGUUCGCAUUUAAAAAAAAAAAAAAAAAAAAAAUAAGCUAAAGAAAGAAAGGAAGAAGGAAAGAAAGGAAAGAAAAGAAAAGAAAACUAACAAACAAACAAACAUAUCUUAGCCUUUAAUUCAUAAUA